GAGCUUGUGUCAAUGAGGGCACACUUCAGUGGUGACACUGUCGGCUAAACCUUGUGAAUUCAGGGGAAGAGAAUAAGGAAGAAAACCAACUUCUUUAUCUCUUAGAACCUUAUUUCUCCAACCCUGAGCCAAGCCUCAAAUUUAGGGGAAAUGCAGGAGACUAGGAAAUCCAAAUGUUCUCUAAAUUUGAGGAAGGUGCAGAGACUAUCGAAAUCACUCCAACAUGAAGCGAGUAAGAGUAGUGUUGGAGGAAGAGAGUAGAGUACACCAUGAUGAUGUAAUAUACAUCAUUAUGGUGGAAGCGCAAGGGUUCUUAUUCAAUAUCGCAGUUGAAUAAGAAUAAGAUAUAGUCCACCUGUUUGUUAAAACAGA
rfam:Geobacillus sp. WCH70, complete genome.